rnacentral:rRNA from 1 species
ACACAUGCAGUCGAGGGGUAGAAGUCUUCGGNCUUUGAGACCGGCGCACGGGUGCGUAACGCGUAUGCAAUCUACCUUUUACAGAGGGAUAGCCCAGAGAAAUUUGGAUUAAUACCUCAUAGUAUAAUUGAAUGGCAUCAUUUAAUUAUUAAAGUCACAACGGUAAAAGAUGAGCAUGCGUCCCAUUAGCUAGUUGGUAAGGUAACGGCUUACCAAGGCUACGAUGGGUAGGGGUCCUGAGAGGGAGAUCCCCCACACUGGUACUGAGACACGGACCAGACUCCUACGGGAGGCAGCAGUGAGGAAUAUUGGACAAUGGGCGCAAGCCUGAUCCAGCCAUGCCGCGUGCAGGAUGACGGUCCUAUGGAUUGUAAACUGCUUUUAUACGAGAAGAAACCCUACUUCGUGAAGUAGCUUGACGGUAUCGUAAGAAUAAGGAUCGGCUAACUCCGUGCCAGCAGCCGCGGUAAUACGGAGGAUCCAAGCGUUAUCCGGAAUCAUUGGGUUUAAAGGGUCCGUAGGCGGUUUGGUAAGUCAGUGGUGAAAGCCCAUCGCUCAACGGUGGAACGGCCAUUGAUACUGCUAGACUUGAAUUAUUAGGAAGUAACUAGAAUAUGUAGUGUAGCGGUGAAAUGCUUAGAGAUUACAUGGAAUACCAAUUGCGAAGGCAGGUUACUACUAAUGGAUUGACGCUGAUGGACGAAAGCGUGGGUAGCGAACAGGAUUAGAUACCCUGGUAGUCCACGCCGUAAACGAUGGAUACUAGCUGUU